rnacentral:rRNA from 1 species
GCCCGCCGCGCCCCGCGCCCGGCCCGCCGCCCCCGCCCCGCAUCGAUGAAGAACGCAGCGAAAUGCGAUAAGUAAUGUGAAUUGCAGAAUUCAGUGAAUCAUCGAAUCUUUGAACGCACCUUGCGCUCCUUGGUAUUCUGAGGAGCAUGCCUGUUUGAGUGUCAUGAAAUUCUCAACCUUUGUUACUUUUUUGUUUCAAAGUGUUUGGAUGUGGGAGUUUGCAGGCUUUUUGUGUUCAAAGAGUCAGCUCUUCUGAAAUACAUUAGUGGGACCCAUCGUUGAUUUAGCCCCUGGUGUGAUAGUUAUCUACGCCGUGGCUUAGCACGAUAUUGUGUGGUUCAGCUUUCUAACAGGACAAUUAACUGUCUUUGAUCAUUUUGACCUCAAAUCAGGUAGGACUACCCGCUGAACUUAAGCAUAUCAAUAAGCGGAGGAAA